GGCCGCGCUCCGCCGCCGUCCAGGCGCUGCCUCCCUCCACCGCCCGGCUCGUCUCGUCUCGGCCCGCCCCGACCCGGCGGCCAGUCACCCGCGGCCGCGCACCGCCUCCCCUCCGCGCCCAAGGUAACAUUACCACCUUUGGAUGAAGCAAGGUCAAGAGAAGAACAUUCAGGCAAAAUUAUGAUAAUACAGGUUUUACUUAGCUUGUUCCUGGAACUCCAGCAAAUCAUUUAUCUUGUUCCAAGGAUUGAAAGCACACAUGGUAUUCUGCAGAACAGCACAACUGAGUUUGCGGCUGUGGGAAGCUGGGCUGUUGCAGCAAGUUUCCAGUUCUGCCAAACGUAUGUUGCAGAACUUUGACAAAGGCAAGGUUUUGACUAGCUGAUCACUGAAUGACCUGUUUUUCUGUACUGCUCAGGUACCUUUGAUCAAAAACCUCUGAAAAACUGAACACAUUUGUAGGUAUCUGAGCAUGGAUGUAUAACAAGCCUGUAUUGGUUCAGGCCAGUGUCCUGUUGCAAUCAGUGGCCAGUAGCAGAUGCCCAAGAAGAUGUAAAACCACAGCAAACAUGCAUGAUACUUCUCUCUGACACACUUCCAGUCUCCCCACCCAGCUCUUACUGGUUCAGGGGAUUUCCUGAACAUGUGGUUUAUCUGCUUAGUGACCCACCAAGAUUUCUCUUCCAAGUACUUGUUCAACCUCGUCUUGCACCAAUCAAGAGAAACUUUUUGCAACAUCACUUAGCAAGGCCAGCCACAGAGCUAGCACCCGCUGUGUGAAGAAUUAGCUUCUUUUGUCUGUUUUGAACCAGACUCCUUAGGUGCUGUACUGUAGUCCUCAGAGCAAGGAAAUGCUGAUUCUCGUAACAGACAGGUAUCUGUUCUCAAAUAUCGACUUGUGUAAUAUUUCCAAACUGAGAGGUAUUAUGCAUGUGCAAAGCUACAGAGUGUAAACUGACACUACUGCAAAACUACGUAAGACCUAUGUGUUGGGAUAUGCAGAUAAAGAAAGUAAGAAUGCAUAUUGGUCCAUGGUCCCAUUUUAUUCCUUGCACCAAUCAUGUUACACCUACAUGUGGGACUGGGAAGAUCUCUGGAUUUGUGCUUGCGAACACUGAGAUUUUGACAGUGCUAUUGAGUAUGACGUACUAAAUAUUAAAAAAUACCAUCAAUGUUUGCAUUAGAAUGUAUGUAUUUAGUAAAAGAAUUUGGUUUAUGAUUUCAUUUAAAGCCUACAUGGCUUGAAAAGUUUGACAUCAGAAUUGUUUGUUGACAUUAUCUUUAUUGAAGCAUGGAUCUUUAGCUUGUUUCACCAUAAAGUGAAGCAUUUUAUUUAUGAUAAUAGACAGGUUAGGGCUAUAGGGGCAUUAUAACGUUGCUGGUGUAAAUACAACUUUAUCGGAAGAUACAAACAUGACCCGCGAUAGAAACAAACACCUAAGAGAACACGAUGAAACGUUCACUGUUUACAAAUCA